UCCUACGGGGCGCAGCAGUGAGGUAUAUUGGUCAAUGGUCGGGAGACUGAACCAGCCAAGCCGCGUGAGGGAGGAAGGUACAGAGUAUUGUAAACCUCUUUUGUCAGGGAACAAAGACUGGGACGCGUCCCCGGAUGAGUGUACCUGAAGAAAAAGCAUCGGCUAACUCCGUGCCAGCAGCCGCGGUAAUACGGAGGAUCCGAGCGUUAUCCGGAUUUAUUGGGUUUAAAGGGAGCGUAGGUGGAUUGUUAAGUCAGUUGUGAAAGUUUGCGGCUCAACCGUAAAAUUGCAGUUGAAACCGGCAG
rnacentral:rRNA from 1 species